CUAAAGCCCUAUUCGCACAGGACUAGUAUUACCUGGUGACUUCUAGUCAUUUGUAAUAAUCCCGGAGGUUGUCUGUGAUCUUAAUCCCGUGCAAA